rnacentral:rRNA from 1 species
CAUCGAUGAAGAACGCAGCGAAAUGCGAUAAGUAAUGUGAAUUGCAGAAUUCAGUGAAUCAUCGAAUCUUUGAACGCAUCUUGCGCUCCUUGGUAUUCCGAGGAGCAUGCCUGUUUGAGUGUCAUU